UACAGAGGUCUCAAGCGUUGUUCGGAUUCAUUGGGCGUAAAGGGUGCGUAGGUGGCGCGCUAAGUCAGGUGUGAAAUUUCGGAGCUUAACUCCGAAACUGCAUUUGAUACUGGCGUGCUUGAGGACUGGAGAGGAGACUGGAAUUCAUGGUGUAGCAGUGAAAUGCGUAGAUAUCGUGAGGAAGACCAGUGGCGAAGGCGGGUCUCUGGACAGUUCCUGACGCUGAGGCGCGAAGGCCAGGGGAGCAAACGGG
rnacentral:rRNA from 1 species